rnacentral:tRNA from 1 species
GGCGCCAUCGUCUAUCGGUUAGGACACUGCCCUUUCAAGGCGGAAAGACGGGUUCGAUUCCCGUUGGCGCUACCA